UCUACUGUCCGUAUCACUACGACUCCAAAAACUCCAUCAGGUGCACUGUAAAAAAGCAUGAAGUUAACAUGGUUUUGCAAGUCAAUUAAACCCAUUUUAAGUUUUGACUUAUGAUAAGUUGACAUAACUUGUUGAAAUUGUUUAACUUAAUUUGUCAUUUAAACAUUUUCUGCACUUAAAUGUACUCAAUAGGCUAAAUGCAUGUGUCAGUAUUUGUGUCUUCAAUGAAUUAAGGCUUGUUUGUUUUUUUUUGAAUUUGAACAAACAUGUCAUCCAUCAACAUUAUAGAGUUUUCUCUUGUUCAUCUUUAAACUGAAUGAACUGAACUCUUACAGAUGUGUUGUUGUUGUUUAUACUCCAUCAGGAGGACUACAGUCAGUUCAUAUGGUUGUCAUCUUUUGUGUUGCUGUUGGAUGUCUGAUGAUUGUAGCUUCAGUUGUGAUCUUCUGGAUCAACAGGAAACACAAAAACAAACAUCAUCUGGAUCAGAGCGGUGAAGAUGAAGACACUUACGCUAACACAACAUUUCACAAACUAAACACACAGAUGAAGAAAUCUGAUAUAACAGAAGUGGUUUACACAUGUUAUACCGUUAAAACAGAUCAAACUCCUCUCUUAUCUUAAUAAUAAUAAUAAUAAUAAUAAUGUAUUUUAUGUGUUUUCAUUUCUCUUUUAUAUUAUUUAGUGGUUUUGUUGAGUGUGUUGUGAUCCUAAAUGUUGAUGUAUUUCAUCAGUUUUGACCUUUCGUCGACACUGCCACAAUGUUUGUUGUAUAUUUAAUAUGAAAUCUCUGGACAUAAAUGGGUUAAUAGACUUUGCUAUGGUUAAUUGUGUGUUGUGACCUCUAG